CACGUAGUUAGCCGGUGCUUAUUCUUCCGGUACCGUCAUCCCCCCGAGGUAUUAACCCAGGAGAUUUCUUUCCGGACAAAAGUGCUUUACAACCCGAAGGCCUUCUUCACACACGCGGCAUUGCUGGAUCAGGCUUUCGCCCAUUGUCCAAAAUUCCCCACUGCUGCCUCCCGUAGGAGUCUGGGCCGUGUCUCAGUCCCAGUGUGCCUGGUCGUCCUCUCAGACCAGGUACGGAUCGCGGCCUUGGUGAGCCUUUACCUCACCAACAAGCUAAUCCGACAUCGGCCGCUCUGAUAGCGCGAGGCCUUUCGGUCCCCCGCUUUCCACCUUGGUGCGUAUGCGGUAUUAAUCCGGCUUUCGCCGAGCUAUCCCCCACUACCCAGGUACGUUCCGAUGCAUUACUCACCCGUUCGCCACUCGCCACCAGGGUUCGCCCCCGUGCCUGCCGUUCGACUUGCAUGUGUAAGGCAUGCCGCCAGCGUUCAAUCUGACGCAGGAUCAAACUCU
rnacentral:rRNA from 1 species